CCGUCUCCAUCGCCUUCACGGGAUCAUUUUUACGGGGAUGGAAGGAACUACCGGGUGGGCAGGGGGAUGACACGGGAACGCCGAGAAACCCGGAGGGAGCAGCGGGGUAUCUCACUUUAGCCACCCCCCUUCACAUACACACACAUCCCCCCUUUAUUGCCGCCACCGUCCCUCGGGGCCGCUGUGAUUUUCAGAGCCCGGAGCUCCCGCCACCCAGUUAGCUUUUAGGUGCUGGUAUAUGUGGAGCUGAAGUAAAUGGCUGCUCAGCACAGACAGCUUGGACAAAUCCUCAGCACUAUAGGAGCUGUCUUCAGUGCAAAUCUGAACAACCUGCAUGCUGGAAGCCUUAGGAGUAAACUCUAGCAGUGCUGGGCACAAGGUGCAGCCAAGAAGAUAUCAAGGAUGGACACAGCCAAGUGACACAUGUGAAAAAAGGACUCAAGAACUCUGCUGCCCUGGGAGAGUUUAAAUGAUAAAAACAUUAUCCAAGAACAAUGGAGGGUAUAUCUGUAUGGAAAUAAACAUACAUUUGUCGUAGACCUCAACCAUUGCCUUAUUAAACUUAGAAUUCCACAGGUUUUUAUUACCAAAGCGCGCUGUCUUCAGUUGCAGCACUUACAGGUAAUGUCAGAACCUGCUGGCACAAAACACCAGUUCUGGCUUGAAUGUUUCAUUGGUCAUUUGUACAAGCCAUCAGUGAAAUAAUAAAACAGAAUAUGA